rnacentral:rRNA from 1 species
UACGGAGGGUGCAAGCGUUAUCCGGAUUUACUGGGUUUAAAGGGUGCGUAGGUGGGCAGUUAAGUCAGCGGUGAAAUCUCUGGGCUUAACCCAGAAACUGCCAUUGAUACUAUCAGUCUUGAAUAUUGUGGAGGUCAGCGGAAUAUGUCAUGUAGCGGUGAAAUGCUUAGAUAUGACAUAGAACACCAAUUGCGAAGGCAGCUGGCUACACAUAUAUUGACACUGAGGCACGAAAGCGUGGGAUCAAACAGG